UGAACGCUGGCGGCGUGCCUAAUACAUGCACGUCGAGCGAACAGAUGAGGAGCUUGCUCCUCUGACGUUAGCGGCGGACGGGUGAGUAACACGUGGAUAACCUACCUAUAAGACUGGGAUAACUUCGGGAAACCGGAGCUAAUACCGGAUAAUAUAUUGAACCGCAUGGUUCAAUAGUGAAAGACGGUUUUGCUGUCACUUAUAGAUGGAUCCGCGCCGCAUUAGCUAGUUGGUAAGGUAACGGCUUACCAAGGCAACGAUGCGUAGCCGACCUGAGAGGGUGAUCGGCCACACUGGAACUGAGACACGGUCCAGACUCCUACGGGAGGCAGCAGUAGGGAAUCUUCCGCAAUGGGCGAAAGCCUGACGGAGCAACGCCGCGUGAGUGAUGAAGGUCUUCGGAUCGUAAAACUCUGUUAUUAGGGAAGAACAAAUGUGUAAGUAACUAUGCACGUCUUGACGGUACCUAAUCAGAAAGCCACGGCUAACUACGUG
rnacentral:rRNA from 1 species